rnacentral:rRNA from 1 species
UCCUACGGGAGGCAGCAGUGGGGAAUAUUGGACAAUGGGGGCAACCCUGAUCCAGCCAUGCCGCGUGUGUGAAGAAGGCCCUCGGGUUGUAAAGCACUUUCAGCGAGGAAGAACGCCUAGUGGUUAAUACCCGCUAGGAAAGACAUCACUCGCAGAAGAAGCACCGGCUAACUCCGUGCCAGCAGCCGCGGUAAUACGGAGGGUGCAAGCGUUAAUCGGAAUUACUGGGCGUAAAGCGCGCGUAGGUGGCUUGAUAAGCCGGUUGUGAAAGCCCCGGGCUCAACCUGGGAACGGCAUCCGGAACUGUCAAGCUAGAGUGCAGGAGAGGAAGGUAGAAUUCCCGGUGUAGCGGUGAAAUGCGUAGAGAUCGGGAGGAAUACCAGUGGCGAAGGCGGCCUUCUGGACUGACACUGACACUGAGGUGCGAAAGCGUGGGUAGCAAACAGGAUUAGAUACCCUGGUAGUCCACGCCGUAAACGAUGUCGACCAGCCGUUGGGUGCCUAGCGCACUUUGUGGCGAAGUUAACGCGAUAAGUCGACCGCCUGGGGAGUACGGCCGCAAGGUUAAAACUCAAAUGAAUUGACGG